GACGGGUGUGCUCUAGUUUCA
rnacentral:miRNA from 1 species